UACGUAGGGUGCGAGCGUUGUCCGGAAUUAUUGGGCGUAAAGCGCUCGCAGGUGGUUCGUCGCGUCGUGCGUGAAAGACCCCGGCUCAACUGGGGGAGGUCGUGCGAUACGGGCGGACUGGAGGCCAGUAGGGGGAUGCGGAAUUCCGGGUGUAGUGGUGGAAUGCGUAGAGAUCCGGAGGAACACCAGCGGCGAAGGCGGCAUCCUGGACUGGUCCUGACACUCAUGAGCGAAAGCGCGGGGAGCGAUCCGG
rnacentral:rRNA from 1 species